rnacentral:tRNA from 4 species
GCAUCUGUAGCUCAGUUGGUAGAGCAAACGCCUUGUAAGCGUUAGGCCGCUGGAUCGUACCCAGUCAGGUGCA